rnacentral:rRNA from 1 species
AUUGAACGCUGGCGGCAGGCCUAACACAUGCAAGUCGAACGGUAACAGGAAGCAGCUUGCUGCUUCGCUGACGAGUGGCGGACGGGUGAGUAAUGUCUGGGAAGCUGCCUGAUGGAGGGGGAUAACUACUGGAAACGGUAGCUAAUACCGCAUAAUGUCGCAAGACCAAAGAGGGGGACCUUCGGGCCUCUUGCCAUCGGAUGUGCCCAGAUGGGAUUAGCUUGUUGGUGGGGUAACGGCUCACCAAGGCGACGAUCCCUAGCUGGUCUGAGAGGAUGACCAGCCACACUGGAACUGAGACACGGUCCAGACUCCUACGGGAGGCAGCAGUGGGGAAUAUUGCACAAUGGGAGCAAGCCUGAUGCAGCCAUGCCGCGUGUAUGAAGAAGGCCUUCGGGUUGUAAAGUACUUUCAGCGGGGAGGAAGGGAGUAAAGUUAAUACCUUUGCUCAUUGACGUUACCCGCAGAAGAAGCACCGGCUAACUCCGUG